rnacentral:rRNA from 1 species
AUUGAACGCUGGCGGAAUGCUUUACACAUGCAAGUCGAACGGCAGCACGGACUUCGGUCUGGUGGCGAGUGGCGAACGGGUGAGCAACAUAUCGGAACGUAUCCAAUAAUGGGGGAUAACGAGUCGAAAGAUUCGCUAAUACCGCAUACGCCCUACGGGGGAAAGCUGGGGACCUUCGGGCCUGGCGUUAGUGGAGCGGCCGAUAUCUGAUUAGCUAGUUGGUGAGGUAAAGGCUCACCAAGGCGACGAUCAGUAGCUGGUCUGAGAGGACGACCAGCCACACUGGAACUGAGACACGGUCCAGACUCCUACGGGAGGCAGCAGUGGGGAAUUUUGGACAAUGGGCGCAAGCCUGAUCCAGCCAUUCCGCGUGAGUGAAGAAGGCCUUCGGGUUGUAAAGCUCUUUCGCAAGGGAAGAAAACUUAGCCACUAACAUUGGUUGAGGUUGACGGUACCUUGAUAAGAAGCACCGGCUAACUACGUGCCAGCAGCCGCCGUAA